AUUGAACGCUGGCGGCAGGCCUAACACAUGCAAGUCGAACGAGUGGCGGACGGGUGAGUAAUGUCUGGGAAUCUGCCUGAUGGAGGGGGAUAACUACGGGAAACUGUAGCUAAUACCGCGUACCAUAGGAUGAGCCCAGAUGGGAUUAGCUAGUGGGUGGGGUAAAGGCUCACCAAGGCGACGAUCCCUAGCUGGUCUGAGAGGAUGACCAGCCACACUGGAACUGAGACACGGUCCAGACUCCUACGGGAGGCAGCAGUGGGGAAUAUUGCACAAUGGGCGCAAGCCUGAUGCAGCCAUGCCGCGUGUAUGAAGAAGGCCUUCGGGUUGUAAAGUACUUUCAGUGGGGAGGCGUUACCCACAGAAGAAGCACCGGCUAACUCCGUGCCAGCAGCCGCGGUAAUAC
rnacentral:rRNA from 1 species